CGGCCCAAGUGAACCGACUCACCAGCAACCAGCCAGGUCAGCCUUCAAACUAGGGUUUUGCCCUCCCGCUCCGAGAAAGCAAACAGCUCGAGCUCCUCCGAUUCCGUCCGCCUCCGUUCCUCCGCAUCUUCCCGGCCGCCGCCAAGAUGAAGCUCGUCAGGUUCUUGAUGAAGCUGAACAACGAGACGGUCACCAUCGAGCUCAAGAACGGCACUACCGUCCACGGCACCAUCACCGGUGUUGACAUAAGCAUGAAUACUCAUCUGAAGACCGUAAAGCUCACAAUGAAAGGGAAGAAUCCUGUAACCCUUGAUCACAUCAGCGUGAGAGGAAACAACAUUCGGUACUACAUCCUCCCUGAUAGCUUAAACCUGGAAACGUUGCUGGUUGAGGAUACUCCCAGGGUCAAGUCUAAGAAGCCAACUACAGGGAAGCCUAUGGGUCGGGGUCGUGGACGCGGCCGUGGGCGUGGCCGGGGCCGGGGGCGCUGAGCUUUAUUGUUCCCUGCUUUGGAAGCUCGUGCAGUGCAAGUCCCUACAGCGUAACCUGCUUCCUCUGCGAGCUAUGUCGAAGAAUGUUUCUGUUCUGUUAGAAGAUGUCAAUCUAAGCCUCCAGACUUUUGAAAUGCUAAGUGGCAUCAUGUGCUGUUACUUGUUACCCUGGAAUUCUUGCCCUUGUGCUUUUGCGUAGCAGUAAGUUGUGUUUGAGUAGAAGCUGACCCUUUUUCUUUUGUGGCAAUGCUUGAAAUUAAACUGGGAUGGGGGCACUGGUAUUGCAGAUUACAUAUUGACAUAUUCAUCUGAAACAUGCACCCGUCUACAAUUCUUGCCUGUAUGCUGCGAUGUUAGGCUUGAUCACUUUCUGUGAUUUGAUUUUCUGCCCGGUGUGGUUUUGCUUCCUAUGAGUUUGGAACUAAUGGAAUCUUCAUUUUUACUUGCAAUGCCCACUCAAAAUCCAAUUGGAUGGUGGGUGAUGUUGGUUCCACCUCCCUCUUUCACCGUAGGCUACGUUUGAUGGGUGGUCUUUUUUUAGAGCAUUUAUAUAUCCUGGAAUCUCUCCAUCUUGUUUGUUGAGACAAUUGUUUUACUGGAAUGUAACUCCAAAAGGCUUAGUAUAGUCAAGUAAGUUUUUGGAAUGUGUUCGCAAAAAAAAAGUUGGUAAAAGUUUCUGUAACCGGCCACAUUCCACAGCGGAAUCAGAUAUAACCUCUCGGUCGUGAUGUAUCCAUCGUUCAGGCAGUGCCGUGCUGAAUCAUGCAGCGAGCGUUAUGGGUGAUGCGUUUGAAGCGACAGGUUUGGCCGGCCGGCCGGCCCAUGGUGGUGUCAUGUCUGGGACAAAUGUUGGCCGGAGCAUUUGCCUCUGUCUCUUCACCGUCUUACGUUUCAGGAUCGGGACGAAUUAAAACCUCGACGGCGAUCAGUUUCUUAUAAGCUUUAUCAAAGUGUUAGAACAAAUUUCUGAUAAUAACCCCUCGCAUAAAUGCGCGUCCCAAUCGAAUUGAUUCCAUCCUGUCAAGCCCGUCGUCCGUCCAUCCAUCCAUGCCCUCCCAGUCCUAGUCUUCCUCCAUAUGCGUUGUCAAUGGAGGACACCCCCAACCCCAAUCAGCCAAGCCGCACGCAUUAUCCUCUUCCAUCUUCUAUCUAUCUAAAAGGCAAAAGACAAAUAUUCCGCAGCAAAAGAUGGAGGAAAAGCAGAGCCGAGCCGCCUGUUGCUCUCUGCAAAUUGAUUCCCCCCACAUGCCCCUCGAUGCCAAGAUGACACAUCACGGCAUCAAUAAUCCCGUCUUGUUAGACAUGUGUCUUGGGCCAGGCCACACGGGAUCGAGAUUCCGUGCAUGGCGGAAAGGCAACCCGGAGAGAGAUUUCCCGUCACCCGACCGUUCCACACAGUCUUAGCUUCCCUGGCAAGCGAUGCCCUGCACACCACCGUUGAAGCGAGAAAGAAGGGCGCUCGUUGGAGUGGUUACAUAGUUGUCCAGCUCCAUCAGUUUUGCUCUCUCUUUUCGAGUAAAGUGUAGCUGCCGGGUUAAAAUUUUCUCUGAUAAAAGGGCGUGCCCGCGCUGCUCCAGCCUGCCUGCCUGCAUGUUCCAAAACCCUCACGCCGCAGCACCGUCGCUCGCCUAGAGAGAGAGAGAGAGAGAGAGAUCAAGGUUUAUAUAGAGGAAGAAAAGAGAGGAGGGGGAGGAAGGAUGUGCUUCAAGUUGAACAGCAAGGAGAGGGUGGGGUGCUGCCUGCUGGUGCUGCUGUGCAGCGCGCUCCUCGUCGGCGUCCUCUUCGGGAUGGGCGUCUUCCGCCACGGCUACGACAAGCUCAGCGAGCUCGGCCGCAACCGCACCUGCUACGACUGCCACACCAACUAGCCACACCCUCGCCGGCUAGCGCGCCGUCGGCUUGCCGGCCUACUCAUGUGCAUCUAUGUAUGCAUGUAUGUAUGUAUAGCAAACUGUGCAGAAUUUUGUUGCUCUGGUACGCAGCCGAGGGUACGGACUGUUUUUGUGUU